UGGGGAAUAUUGGACAAUGGGCGCAAGCCUGAUCCAGCAAUGCCGCGUGUGUGAAGAAGGCCUUCGGGUUGUAAAGCACUUUUAUCAGGAGCGAAACGCUGUCGGCUAAUACCCGGCGGAACUGACGGUACCUGAGGAAUAAGCACCGGCUAACUUCGUGCCAGCAGCCGCGGUAAUACGAAGGGUGCAAGCGUUAAUCGGAAUUACUGGGCGUAAAGCGUGCGUAGGCGGUUUCUUAAGUCUGCUGUGAAAUCCCCGGGCUCAACCUGGGAAUGGCAGUGGAUACUGGGAGGCUAGAGUGUGUCAGAGGGUGGUGGAAUUCCCGGUGUAGCGGUGAAAUGCGUAGAGAUCGGGAGGAACAUCAGUGGCGAAGGCGGCCACCUGGGACAACACUGACGCUGAGGCACGAAAGCGUGGGGAGCAAACAGGAUUAGAUACCCUGGUAGUCCACGCCCUAAAGCGAUGCGAACUGGAUGUUGUCUCAACUCGGAGAUCAGUGUCGAAGCUAACGCGUUAAGUUCGCCGCCUGGGGAGUACGGUCGCAAGACUGAAACUUAAAUG
rnacentral:rRNA from 1 species